rnacentral:rRNA from 1 species
GAUGAACGCUGGCGGCGUGCCUAAUACAUGCAAGUCGAGCGAACAGACGAGGAGCUUGCUCCUCUGCCGUUAGCGGCGGACGGGUGAGUAACACGUAGAUACCCUACCUAUAAGACUGGGAUAACUUCGGGAAACCGGAUCUAAUACCGGAUAACAUGUUGAACCGCAUGGUUCAUCAGUGAACGCCGUUCUUGCUGACACUAAUACAUGUAUCCUCGCCGCAUUAGCUAGUUGGUACGGUAACGGCUUACCAAGGCUACGAUGCGUAGCCGACCUGAGAGGGUGAUCAGCCACACUGGAACUGAGACACGGUCCAGACUCCUACGGGAGGCAGCAGUAGGGAAUCUUCGGCAAUGGGCGAAAGCCUGACGCAGCAACGCCGCGUGAGUGAAGAAGGUCUUCGGAUCGUAAAGCUCUGUUAGUAGGGAAGAAGAAAUGUGUGAGUAAAUAUGCACGUUUUGACGGUACCUAAACAGAAAGCAACGGCUAACUACGUG